rnacentral:tRNA from 1 species
UUUCUGAUAGCUUAUUAGGCGAAACAUAAGAGCUGUUUAGGUGGGUUCUAGUUCUUUUAGAAAG